rnacentral:rRNA from 1 species
AUUGAACGCUGGCGGCAGGCCUAACACAUGCAAGUCGAGCGAGCGGCGGACGGGUGAGUAAUGUCUGGGAAACUGCCUGAUGGAGGGGGAUCACUACUGGACACGGUAGCUAAUACCGCAUACCAUCAGAUGUGCCCAGAUGGGAUUAGCUAGUGGGUGGGGUAACGGCUCACCUAGGCGCAGAUCCCUAGCUGGUCUGAGAGGAUGACCAGCCACACUGGAACGGAGACACGGUCCAGACUCCUACGGGAGGCAGCAGUGGGGAAUAUUGCACAAUGGGAGCAAGCCUGAUGCAGCCAGGCCGCGUGUGUGAAGAAGGCCUUCGGGUUGUAAAGCACUUUCAGCGGGGAGGCGUUACCCGCAGAAGAAGCACCGGCUAACUCCGUGCCAGCAGCCGCGGUAAUUC